rnacentral:lncRNA from 1 species
GCAAGGUCGCUAAAGCACAUGUUCAGCAAGCUUGACCAUGAGUUCUAGACUAGAAAAGAGGCAAAUAAAUAAAUAAAAGGCAAGAAAGAAGCCAACUGACAACAAGGGAGAAGUUUUAGAGGCUAAAGCCAUAAAUGAGGCCGUGCCAUCUGGUGCUACAGAGACAGGAUCUGGAGCCAGCAGACCUGGACUCAAGUCCCAGCUCCACUUCUCAAGAGCCACAAGGAUUUGGGCAAGUAACAUCCCCUUCCCACACCUCCCUUUCCUCUGCUGAAAUUGGAGACCAUAGUAGAAUCUCCCAUUGGGUGAGAUAAAGCAUAUAAAC